CGAAAGCCUGACGGAGCAACGCCGCGUGAGGGAUGAAGGCCUUUGGGCUGUAAACCUCUUUUCUCAAGGAAGAAGAUCUGACGGUACUUGAGGAAUAAGCCACGGCUAAUUCCGUGCCAGCAGCCGCGGUAAUACGGGAGUGGCAAGCGUUAUCCGGAAUUAUUGGGCGUAAAGCGUCCGCAGGCGGCCGUUUAAGUCUGUUGUUAAAUCGUGGAGCUCAACUCCAUCACGGCAAUGGAAACUGUUCGGCUUGAGUAUGGUAGGGGCAGAGGGAAUUUCCGGUGUAGCGGUGAAAUGCGUAGAUAUCGGGAAGAACACCAGUGGCGAAAGCGCUCUGCUGGACCAUUACUGACGCUCAUGGACGAAAGCCAGGGGAGCGAAAGGGAUUAGAUACCCCUGUAGUCCUGGCCGUAAACGAUGAACACUAGAUGUUGGGGGAAUCGACCCCCUCGGUGUCGUAGCUAACGCGUUAAGUGUUCCGCCUGGGGAGUACGCACGCAAGUGUGAAACUCAAAGGAAUUGACGGGGGCCCGCACAAGCGGUGGAGUAUGUGGUUUAAUUCGAUGCAACGCGAAGAACCUUACCAAGGCUUGACAUCCUGCGAAUCUCCGAGAAAUUGGAGAGUGCCUUCGGGAACGCAGUGACAGGUGGUGCAUGGCUGUCGUCAGCUCGUGUCGUGAGAUGUUGGGUUAAGUCCCGCAACGAGCGCAACCCACGUUUUUAGUUGCCAGCAUUCAGUUGGGCACUCUAGAAAGACUGCCGGUGACAACCGGAGGAAGGUGUGGACGACGUCAAGUCAUCAUGCCCCUUACGCCUUGGGCUACACACGUACUACAAUGCUGCGGACAAAGAGUAGCGAUCUUGCGAAAGUUAGCUAAUCUCGUAAACCGUGGCUCAGUUCAGAUCGUAGGCUGCAACUCGCCUACGUGAAGGAGGAAUCGCUAGUAAUCGCAGGUCAGCAUACUGCGGUGAAUACGUUCCCGGGCCUUGUACACACCGCCCGUCACACCAUGGAAGUUGGCCAUGCCCGAAGUCGUUACUCUAACCUUUUGGAAGAGGGCGCCGAAGGCAGGGCUGAUGACUGGGGUGAAGUCGUAACAAGGUAGCCGUAGCGGAAGCUGCGGCUGGAUCACCUCCUAA
rnacentral:rRNA from 1 species